GAUUCUAGCACACGCUAAUUUAACAACCCUGCUUCGUCGUCUUCUUUUUUUUUUUUUCCCCUUCUGCUUCCAGGAUAAUUAAAAGAGAAACCUGUAAAGGCAACAUUCCUUCAAGCAAGUUGGUGCUGCAACGUGCUGACAUAUAUAAAGGAGAGACAUUGAUCCAGGAUGCUUUCACUAUGCAAUUUCGAAACUAAUUCUACCUGUUGAACUGCACCAAGAGCAGAUGAUAUGACAGAAACUGCAAGACAACUAGAGGACUGAGUUUGGGUCCAGAAGGACUGUGAGGACUGACAUAAAGUCAGCUGAGAACAAGAUGGGAUGUACCAGAAACUCUUGGCCUAUGAACAUGGGACAAAAAAAAGAGCCAGAAAAGCAACUCUUAAGGGAUGUCUCGUUUUAAGUGCUGGACAGUGCCAGAGCUGCUACCAGCACCUGGUGGGGUAAGGGACAAAGCCCCAUGACCCAGAAGAAAUUUUGUCCACUGAAACUUUUUUCAAUAUUUCAGGCUACACCUUCAAUGACUAGAAAAGCUGGGAUAGUCUGGUUCCUCUUUCACUUACCAUGAUGGGUAGGGACCACAUGUACCAUCUCUGAAAUAGACCAUGUGACUGCUGUUAUUAUUCCCUCAGUGAUGUAAUACCUCUGCAAGCAUAAUCAACCCUUGUUCUUAAUGUUCUCUUAUUAGUCCAAUUGACUAACACUUACUGUUUAUGAAAAAAUAAAUGUGUUUCAGCUGUUG